UACGGAAGGCAGCAGUGGGGAAUAUUGCACAAUGGGCGAAAGCCUGAUGCAGCUAUGCCGCGUGUAUGAAGAAGGCCUUAGGGUUGUAAAGUACUUUCAUCGGGGAGGAAAAAACAAAACUAAUAAUUUUAUUUCUUGACGUUACCCGAAAAAGAAGCACCGGCUAACUCCGUGCCAGCAGCCGCGGUAAUACGGAGGGUGCUAGCGUUAAUCAGAAUUACUGGGCGUAAAGAGCACGUAGGUGGUUUUUUUAAAGUCAGAUGUGAAAUCCCUGGGCUUAACCUGGAACUGCAUUUUGAAACUGAAAUACUAGAGUAUCGUAGAGGGAGGUAGAAUUCUAGGUGUAGCGGUGAAAUGCGUAGAUAUCUGGAGGAAUACCUGUGGCGAAAGCGGCCUCCUAAACGAAUACUGACACUGAGGUGCGAAAGCGUGGGGAGCAAACAGGGAUUAGAUA
rnacentral:rRNA from 1 species